UACAGAGGUCUCAAGCGUUGUUCGGAUUCAUUGGGCGUAAAGGGUGCGUAGGCGGCGCGGUAAGUCGGGGGUGAAAUCUCGGAGCUUAACUCCGAAACUGCAUUCGAUACUGCCGUGCUUGAGGACUGGAGAGGAGACUGGAAUUUACGGUGUAGCGGUGAAAUGCGUAGAUAUCGUAAGGAAGACCAGUGGCGAAGGCGGAUCUCUGGACAGUUACUGACACUGAGGCACGAAGGCCAGGGGAGCAAACGGG
rnacentral:rRNA from 1 species